UACGUAGGGGGCAAGCGUUGUCCGGAUUUAUUGGGCGUAAAGAGCGCGUAGGCGGCCGAGUAAGUCCGACGUGAAAUCUGGAGGCUUAACCUCCAGCGGUCGUUGGAAACUACUCGGCUAGAGUCCGGAAGAGGAGAGUGGAAUUCCUGGUGUAGCGGUGAAAUGCGCAGAUAUCAGGAAGAACACCGAUGGCGAAAGCAGCUCUCUGGGACGGUACUGACGCUGAGGCGCGAAAGCGUGGGGAGCGAACAGG
rnacentral:rRNA from 1 species